rnacentral:lncRNA from 1 species
CCAUAAAUACUUCACUAGACCUAAUUUUUAUCCAACCAUGAAAUUCCUUUCAACCCAAUGCAAAUAAUAAAGAAAGUCGGCCUAAAAAGCACCUACAUCGCAGAGCGCGAAGCCAAAAAUGUGGAAUCAAAAAAGGCCUUUUUCAUGCCUAAUGCACAUGUACAGACAUACCCAGAACUAAAAUGUAAACGACAUUUCAGUAAG